GAUGAACGCUGGCGGCGUGCCUAAUACAUGCAAGUCGAGCGAACAGACGAGGAGCUUGCUCCUCUGACGUUAGCGGCGGACGGGUGAGUAACACGUGGAUAACCUACCUAUAAGACUGGGAUAACUUCGGGAAACCGGAGCUAAUACCGGAUAAUAUAUUGAACCGCAUGGUUCAAUAGUGAAAGACGGUUUUGCUGUCACUUAUAGAUGGAUCCGCGCCGCAUUAGCUAGUUGGUAAGGUAACGGCUUACCAAGGCAACGAUGCGUAGCCGACCUGAGAGGGUGAUCGGCCACACUGGAACUGAGACACGGUCCAGACUCCUACGGGAGGCAGCAGUAGGGAAUCUUCCGCAAUGGGCGAAAGCCUGACGGAGCAACGCCGCGUGAGUGAUGAAGGUCUUCGGAUCGUAAAACUCGGUUAUUAGGGAAGAACAAAUGUGUAAGUAACUAUGCACGUCUUGACGGUACCUAAUAAGAAAGCAACGGCUAACUACGUG
rnacentral:rRNA from 1 species